UAGAUACCCUGGUAGUCCACGCCGUAAACGGUGGGCGCUAGGUGUGGGCCUCAUUCCACGAGGUCUGUGCCGCAGCUAACGCAUUAAGCGCCCCGCCUGGGGAGUACGGCCGCAAGGCUAAAACUCAAAGGAAUUGACGGGGGCCCGCACAAGCGGCGGAGCAUGUGGCUUAAUUCGAUGCAACGCGAAGAACCUUACCUAGGCUUGACAUGCAAGGAAAUCUCCCAGAGAUGGGAGGUCCGCAAGGGCU
rnacentral:rRNA from 1 species